UACGGAGGGUGCAAGCGUUGUCCGGAUUUAUUGGGUUUAAAGGGUGCGUAGGCGGUUAAUUAAGUCAGUGGUGAAAUCCUGGAGCUCAACUUCAGAACUGCCAUUGAUACUGGUUGACUUGAGUACAGACGAGGUUGGCGGAAUUGAUGGUGUAGCGGUGAAAUGCAUAGAUACCAUCAAGAACACCGAUUGCGAAGGCAGCUAACUAGGCUGUAACUGACGCUGAGGCACGAAAGUGUGGGGAUCAAACAAG
rnacentral:rRNA from 1 species